AAAGCGGGGUGGUCGGGUGGAGGGGGUCGCACGAACGGUUACGAACACGGCCUCCGUGGUUGCAAACCUGACGCAGAUGCUGCCUGAAGUUUCGUAUUGUUGCUUGAAAACGGCACGACAGCCAAUUAUUCGCGGAUGAAGGCGUGUUUUCGCAGGACGACCCGUACAGCACUCCCCUAGGGAAUGUGGCCUACCCCGUGAGUGGAGAGGAGGUUGCAGCAGCUUCAUCUUCUUCUUCUGCUGAGCAAGAGCAACUUCGCUCUUUCCAAGACCUAUUGCUGCACACCUUCCAGCCAAACCAGCUCCAACAUCAGGACCUCGGUAUGCCCAUCUGUGCCAGCUAUGAAGAGCAGAGCUUGCACACGUCUGGUGGUGCUCGGCUAGUGAUCGUCGAGCAGCCCAUGAAGGAGACCCGCUACCGGUACAAAAGUGAAAGUGGCUCUCAUGGUCCUCUCAUUGGGGAGUCAAGCACGCAGCAACGAAAGACUUUUCCUACAGUCAAGCUGGAAAACUACAAUGUACAGUUACCCCACCGCAUCAAGGCAAGCUUGGUUACCGCCGAGGACACUGCACGGCUGCAUGUACAUCGCAUCACCAUGCGAGGCCGCGACGACGAGGACUGCUGCUACGUCACAGUUCGCGAAAAUGGCACAGCCAUGUUUCCCAGCAUGUCUAUCGUCUUUCAGCAGAAAAAGACCGUUGCUGAUAUCCUGUACAGACGCAAGAUUGAAAGAUUGCAACCCUCCGAAGAAGAAGCGCGGCAGCUUCAGACUGAAGCCAAGAAAGAAGCAGCUGAGCUGAAUUUGAACCUUGUCCGCAUCUGCUUUACGGCCGAGUGCUGUGAAGACGGUGUCUGGAAACCAUUGUGUGUUGUUUACUCCAACCCAGUUGCAAACUCAAAGGCUGGAAAGCUCAGAAUAACCAAAGCAAAUCGCAAGUCAGGAUCGUGCAAAGGUGGUGAUGAGGUCUGGAUUCUCUGUGAGAAGAUCAACAAGAAAGACAUCCUGAUAAAGUUUUUUGAAGAAAAUGAGGAGACAAAAGAAAGGACGUGGGAGGCACCAGCUACAUUUCAGGAAUCAGAUGUACAUUACCAGGUGGCCAUAGUUUUCAAGACGCCUCCGUAUCGUGACACCAAUUUACAGCACCAGGUGCCAGUCAAAUUCCAGCUGAUUCGCAAGUCGGAUAAUGACUGCAGUGAGCCAUUUGAAUUCAUCUACAUGCCUUGUGGGCCUUCUGACGACGAGCUUUUGGCCCACAAGCGGCGCAAGCUCAGUCAUCACUCGCUCGAAGAGGCUUCAUCCCACUACUCGGGCAUCAUGGGUCCACCUCGUGGCGACAGCAGCAGUGCUAGCACACCGACAUUUGGCAUGGCUACCUCAUACCCAGCGUCUUCACCACCACCCGGUGAUGUGCUAGGGGAAAACCUGUCUCUUCCGGUGAGCGAGGAAGACAUGGAAGAAAUGUUAAAGGUCAUGUUGGAAAGCUUUAGCCCCCCCGUACGGUCUGAACUGUUUGAAGAAGUCGACUUCAAUAAAGUGCCUACUCCCCUGGAAUCGGUGAUCAUGGCCACCGAUGGAAGUGGGCUGGAGGCUUCCAUGGGAAGACUUUCUCUGGACAGCAUAGCCAGCCAACAUCGAACACAAGGUGGAAAUCGACAUAGUGGCACCACUUCUUUCUACCAUAGCUCUGAAAAAGACAAGUUAGACCACACGACAAUGCGUGACUCGUUUGACGAGCCUACCACUAUUCAGAACAGUAAGGCGGGUGACAAGCUUGGCAUAGCACUGUAUGCUCUGGUCUGCUGGCUCAUGAAGGAACUUGUGAGCAAGUGCUCGACCGAAACCUUGGCUGAACUGGUCACUAAGAUAAUUCCAAUCUGUGACAGGAAUGGAAACAAUGCUGUGCACGUGGCUGUAAGGCAUCCUUCAUAUGUGCUCAACCCCGUAUUGAAGAUCUUAGCAAGCACAAAGAAGUAUAGUGUGUGUAUCAACAAGCAAAAUAAUGGAGGACAGACACCAUUGCAUUUGGCGGCACAGGGCGGGCGACAUGACCUAGUGACGAUCCUACUGCGCCGUGGAGCCGAUUGUGGACUGGUGGACUGUGCAGGUCGCACUAUUUUGCACUGCGCUGUGCUUGGAUCACUGCCCAAGGGGACUCUGAAUGCAAUUCUGUCUCAGCCACAAGUGGACCACAGUGUGAUUGACAAAGAAGGCAAGACAGCUUUGCAUCUUGCUGUGGAGCGGAGAAAGACUGAUGCCCUUCAAACACUCUGCCAAGCCGGCCUUGAUGUCAAUGCUGCUGUGGAUGAUGGUACCCGAAACAGGCCUCUCCACUUGGCUAUCAUAGCAGACUUUGUCGAUGGCAUCAACAUUCUACUGAAACAGGAUUCGAUCCAAGUGGCUGCUGUCAACAGUGAUGGCAUGGACGCCUUAGGCAUUGCCCUGGACAUGAAACAAGAGGGCAUCGUGGAGGUCCUAUUAGUGCACAGAGAGCUACAGGAAGGAAAGAAAAACAUUGGCUUGAUUGAAAUGGUCGCAGCCGUCCUGUUAAAAAUGAGAAGAGGGGCAGGUGCACCUGGAACCGCUAUGAGGAAGUGCCGCAGGUCUGAGGAGCAUCUCUCAGUGUCUACUAAAGUCAACAGCUGCUUCCUAGCACCAUCACGACCCAUGCCGCUACCUCUGGACCUGGGAACAGUUUCGAGGGGAGAGCCAAAAGGCAGAAAAGUUUUGGACCAGUGCUCUUGCGAAAUCAGAGAGUGGCCAUGCAAAUAUUCGAUCGAGAGUGGUGGAAGCCUUAGAGUGCGAGGAUAACGCGACCAGAGUCCUUGGUCUGCUACACGAGGGAAGCACAGAAGCCGUGCUCAAUAAGAUGGUUGCUUUCCUUCGAGUUUCUGGGCUUGGUAACGCUAUCUACAAGAAAUACCUUCAGAACUACGAUGACGACUCUCUCCAAACACUUUUCGUCGAAGUCCUGGGGAUUCCUCUCAACUGAGACAGCGCCUGCAGUGCCAACUUCAUUAUUAAUGCUCUCAUUACUAUUUGCACUUUGUUAUGUCGAAUAAAAAACUUUUUUUGUCACAUAA
rnacentral:misc_RNA from 1 species